UUUACUAGAGAAUAACACACAACGAAUUAUUCUUUUACCUUUCACUAGAGAAUACAAUGUGCUCACUGUAGAUAGCGGUAUACACGAAUUUUUUGAGGGUUCAACUUUAAAAUAUGAGCC